rnacentral:rRNA from 1 species
GCCUAAAGAUGAGCUCGCGUCUGAUUAGCUAGUUGGUGGGGUAAAAGCUUACCAAGGCGACGAUCAGUAGCUGGUCUGAGAGGAUGAUCAGCCACACUGGGACUGAGACACGGCCCAGACUCCUACGGGAGGCAGCAGUGGGGAAUUUUCCGCAAUGGGCGAAAGCCUGACGGAGCAACGCCGCGUGAGGGAGGAAGGCUUUUGGGUUGUAAACCUCUUUUAUCAAGGAAGAUAAUGACGGUACUUGAUGAAUAAUCAUCGGCUAACUCCGUGCCAGCAGCCGCGGUAAUACGGAGGAUGCAAGCGUUAUCCGGAAUAAUUGGGCGUAAAGCGUUCGUAGGUGGUUUUGUAAGUCUGCUGUUAAAGCGUGUAGCUCAACUACAUAUAGGCAGUGGAAACUACAAGACUUGAGUGCGUUCGGGGGAGAGGGAAUUCCUGGUGUAGCGGUGAAAUGCGUAUAGAUCAGGAAAAACACCCGUGGGGAAAGCGCUCUGUUAUGCCCCAACUGACACUGAGGGACAAAAG